rnacentral:rRNA from 1 species
CCUACGGGUGGCAGCAGUGGGGAAUAUUGGACAAUGGGCGAAAGCCUGAUCCAGCCAUGCCGCGUGUGUGAAGAAGGCCUUCGGGUUGUAAAGCACUUUCAGUGGGGAAGAAAGCCUUGGGGCUAAUACCCUCGAGGAAGGACAUCACCCACAGAAGAAGCACCGGCUAACUCCGUGCCAGCAGCCGCGGUAAUACGGAGGGUGCGAGCGUUAAUCGGAAUUACUGGGCGUAAAGCGCGCGUAGGCGGUCUGAUAAGCCGGUUGUGAAAGCCCCGGGCUCAACCUGGGAACGGCAUCCGGAACUGUCAGGCUAGAGUGCAGGAGAGGAAGGUAGAAUUCCCGGUGUAGCGGUGAAAUGCGUAGAGAUCGGGAGGAAUACCAGUGGCGAAGGCGGCCUUCUGGACUGACACUGACGCUGAGGUGCGAAAGCGUGGGUAGCAAACAGGAUUAGAUCCCGUGUAGUC